AGGAGAGUCUCCUAGCAUAGUUAUGGAACUUCCCUUACGAGGAAGACUACGUCGGUUCAAAUCCGACCUCUCCUA
rnacentral:tRNA from 1 species